AGCGAACGCUAGCGGCGGGCUUAACACACGCAAGUCGAGCGCCCCUUCGGGGGAGCGGCGGACGGGUGAGUAACGCGUGGGAAUCUACCCUAUGGUGGAGGAUAACCCCGGGAAACCGGGGCUAAUACUGCAUAUGGUCUACGGAUCAAAGACUUCGGUCGCCAAAGGAUGAGCCCGCGUCCCAUUAUUUAAUCCUGGUUGGUGGGGUAACGGCCUACCAAGGGUACGAUGGGUAGCUGGUCUGAGAGGACGAUCAGCCACACUGGGACUGAGACACGGCCCAG
rnacentral:rRNA from 1 species